GUUGACUUCUCUGUCCGCUGCUUCCCCCAGCCGGUGGAGCUCACCCCCAAUAAAGGAAGGAAGGGGGUCUUUAUUUUUUUCUAAGGCCCCAAAGAGUCCAGUGUUUACAAGCCUAGAAAUGCUACGGCCAUGUCCAGGCAGAAAGAAAGGCUGAAAUGGAGGACCGACGCCUUCCUUAUAAGCUCACUGGGGCCUGAGCCAGUACCAACCUGGUAGAAAAAGCAACCAUGAAGCCAGAGAGGGAAGAGAGCUCCAGACAGAGAUGAAACCACGCGGAGUAAUGCAGGGAAAGGAGGAGGCAGCCGGUCUCGGAACAAGUGUGGCAGAGAGCAAGACAGGCACUCACAGACAGAGGCUGUGAUUAUGCAGUCAGACCCUGCUGCAAACAGGACUUGGGAUUCUAAAUAUAGACCCUGACUUUGGCAAGAGAUGUACUAGGGAAACUGAGAUAGGAGACCACUUAUAUAAAUAAUCCAUAUAGACAUAGAAGGGGGUUUUAAAAGAUGGAAAUAAUAGAAAAACAGAAAGACAGAAAAGAGGCUCAGCUGGUGGAGAUGGUUAUUGCCAAUGCCUGAGCUUCCUCCUGCUACUGUUUGUAAGAUAGCCAAAUAGAUGUGUAUUAUAAAUACAAUAAUAUGUGAGCUCAAA